GCGCGAAAACUUUACAAUGCUGGCAACAGCGAUAAGGGAACCUCGAGUGCCAGGUUACAAAUCUGGCUGUCGAGAUGCCUAAAAAGCAUUUCAUAGCAAGGGCCGGGCAAGACCGGUGCCAGCCGCCGCGGUAACACCGGCGGCUCGAGUGGUAACCGUUAUUAUUGGGUCUAAAGGGUCUGUAGCCGGCCGGAUAAGUCUCUUGAGAAAUCUGGCAGCUUAACUGUCAGGCUUUCAGGAGAUACUGUCUGGCUCGAGGCCGGGAGAGGUGAGAGGUACUUCAGGGGGAGGGGUGAAAUCUUGUAAUCCUUGAAGGACCACCAGUGGCGAAGGCGUCUCACCAGAACGGACCUGACGGCAAGGGACGAAAGCUAGGGGCACGAA
rnacentral:rRNA from 1 species